rnacentral:rRNA from 1 species
GACGAACGCUGGCGGCGUGCUUAACACAUGCAAGUCGAACGAUGAACCCGGAGCUUGCUCCGGUGGAUUAGUGGCGAACGGGUGAGUAACACGUGAGUAACCUGCCCUUGACUCUGGGAUAACUGCGGGAAACUGUAGCUAAUACCGGAUACGACCCUCGGCGGCAUCGCCAGGGGGUGGAAAGAAUUUCGGUCAAGGAUGGACUCGCGGCCUAUUAGCUAGUUGGUGAGGUAACGGCUCACCAGGGCGACGACGGGUAGCCGGCCUGAGAGGGUGAACGGCAACACUGGGACUGAGACACGGCCCAGACUCCUACGGGAGGCAGCAGUGGGGAAUAUUGCACAGUGGGCGCAAGCCUGAUGCAGCAACGCCGCGUGGGGGAUGACGGCCUUCGGGUUGUAAACCUCUUUUAGCAGGGAAGAAGCGAAAGUGACGGUACCUGCAGAAAAAGCACCGGCUAACUACGUGCCAGCCGCCGCAGUAA